GACGAACGCUGGCGGCGUGCCUAAUACAUGCAAGUUGAGCGAUGAAGAUUGGUGCUUGCACCAAUUUGAAGAGCAGCGAACGGGUGAGUAACGCGUGGGGAAUCUGCCUUUGAGCGGGGGACAACAUUUGGAAACGAAUGCUAAUACCGCAUAACAACUUUAACCUUAGUUUUAAGUUUGAAAGAUUCCAUUGCAUCACUUAAAGAUUAUUCCGCGUUGUAUUAGCUAGUUGGUGAGGUAAAGGCUCACCAAGGCGAUGAUACAUAGCCGACCUGAGAGGGUGAUCGGCCACAUUGGGACUGAGACACGGCCCAAACUCCUACGGGAGGCAGCAGUAGGGAAUCUUCGGCAAUGGACGAAAGUCUGACCGAGCAACGCCGCGUGAGUGAAGAAGGUUGUCGGAUCGUAAAACUCGGUUGGUAGAGAAGAACGUUGGUGAGAGUGGAAAGCUCAUCAAGUGACGGUAACUACCCAGAAAGGGACGGCUAACUACGUG
rnacentral:rRNA from 1 species